ACAUGCAGUCGAGCGAUGAGAGAGCUUGCUCUUCGAUUCAGCGGCGGACGGGUGAGUAAUGCCUAGGAAUCUGCCUGGUAGUGGGGGACAACGUUUCGAAAGGAACGCUAAUACCGCAUACGUCCUACGGGAGAAAGCAGGGGACCUUCGGGCCUUGCGCUAUCAGAUGAGCCUAGGUCGGAUUAGCUAGUUGGUGAGGUAAUGGCUCACCAAGGCGACGAUCCGUAACUGGUCUGAGAGGAUGAUCAGUCACACUGGAACUGAGACACGGUCCAGACUCCUACGGGAGGCAGCAGUGGGGAAUAUUGGACAAUGGGCGAAAGCCUGAUCCAGCCAUGCCGCGUGUGUGAGAAGGUCUUCGGAUUGUAAGCACUUUAGUGGGGAGGAGGCAUUACCUAUACGUUAGGGUUUGACGUUACGACAGAUAAGCCCGGCUACUCUGUCCCAGCAGCGCGGUAAUACAGAGGGGCAGCGUAAUCGAUUACUGGCGUAAAGCGCGCUAGGUGUUGUAGUUGAUUUUAACCCCGGCUCACGGGACUGCCAUCCAAAUGAAGGUAGGGACGUAGGGGG
rnacentral:rRNA from 1 species